UACGAAGGGGGCUAGCGUUGCUCGGAAUCACUGGGCGUAAAGCGCACGUAGGCGGGUCGUUAAGUCGGGGGUGAAAUCCUGGAGCUCAACUCCAGAACUGCCUUCGAUACUGGCGAUCUUGAGUCUGGGAGAGGUGAGUGGAACUCCGAGUGUAGAGGUGAAAUUCGUAGAUAUUCGGAAGAACACCCGUGGCGAAGGCGGCUCUCUGGGACGGUACUGACGCUGAGACGCGAAAGCGUGGGGAGCGAACAGG
rnacentral:rRNA from 1 species